GUGCGAGAUCCUGCCUGCACCUCCCAGAGCCCAGCACACAUGCUGGGCAGGGCUCACUGUGCCUACCAUGGAAGAGGCCACAUGCAAAAGCAGAGGGAGGCCAUUAGCCCACUGCCAGCUGAGGCAACUAUGUAAGGAAGCCUGGAGUGGGCCUUGCCACCAAGGCCAGAGCAGCUACGGUGACUUAUAACCACUCAGGAACCCUCCCCGUGCCCAUUUGACAGAUGAGGAAACUGUGACUUGACCAAGAUCCCACCAUGAGCCACUGGGUGUGGUGGAUUCAUCAUGCAGUCACUGAUUCCCGACAACUCAGGUUCGAAUGAAGCCUCCACUGAAUUAGAAGUUUG